rnacentral:rRNA from 1 species
GACGAACGCUGGCGGCGUGCUUAACACAUGUAAGUCGAACGGAAAGGCCCUGCUUGCAGGGUACUCGAGUGGCGAACGGGUGAGUAACACGUGGGUGAUCUGCCCUGCACUUCGGGAUAAGCCUGGGAAACUGGGUCUAAUACCGGAUAGGAGCCAUUUUUAGUGUGAUGGUUGGAAAGUUUUUUCGGUGUAGGAUGAGCUCGCGGCCUAUCAGCUUGUUGGUGGGGUAAUGGCCUACCAAGGCGGCGACGGGUAGCCGGCCUGGGAGGGUGGACGGCCACAUUGGGACUGGGAAACGGCCCAGACUCCUACGGGAGGCAGCAGGGGGGAAUAUUGCACAAUGGGCGAAAGCCUGAUGCAGCGACGCCGCGUGGGGGAUGACGGCCUUCGGGUUGUAAACCCCUUUCAGUAGGGAGGAAGCUUUUGUGACGGUACCUAGAGAAGAAGCACCGGCUAACUACGUG